UACGUAGGGCGCAAGCGUUGUCCGGAAUUAUUGGGCGUAAAGAGCUCGUAGGCGGUUUGUCGCGUCUGCUGUGAAAACCUAAGGCUCAACCUUGGGCUUGCAGUGGGUACGGGCAGACUAGAGUGCGGUAGGGGUGACUGGAAUUCCUGGUGUAGCGGUGAAAAUGCGCAGAUAUCAGGAAGAACACCCGUGGCGGAAGGCGGCUCUCUGGGACGG
rnacentral:rRNA from 1 species